rnacentral:rRNA from 1 species
GAUGAACGCUGGCGGCGUGCCUAAUACAUGCAAGUCGAGCGAACAGACGAGGAGCUUGCUCCUCUGACGUUAGCGGCGGACGGGUGAGUAACACGUGGAUAACCUACCUAUAAGACUGGGAUAACUUCGGGAAACCGGAGCUAAUACCGGAUAAUAUAUUGAACCGCAUGGUUCAAUAGUGAAAGACGGUUUUGCUGUCACUUAUAGAUGGAUCCGCGCCGCAUUAGCUAGUUGGUAAGGUAACGGCUUACCAAGGCAACGAUGCGUAGCCGACGUGAGAGGGGGAUAGGCCACACUGGAACGGAGACACGGUCCAGACUCCUGCGGGAGGCAGCAGUAGGGAAUCUUCCGCAAUGGGCGAAAGCUUGACGGAGCAACGCCGCGUGAGUGAUGAAGGUCUUCGGAUCGUAAAGCUCUGUUAUUAGGGAAGAACAAAUGUGUAAGUAACUAUGCACGUCUUGACGGUACCUAAUCAGAAAGCCACGGCUAACUACGUG